CAGCAAAUUGUACCAACCAACCAUCCAACAAACAAACCUGUUCAAAUAGUUGCUGAGGGUUCCAGAAUGUAUGCAUAGCACACCCCUCAUAUUGGUGGUGAAAUGAAAUGGUUAAACAGUAACACUGUGACCAGUGCCCUUGUGAACGUUUUAUGGUGUAAUGCAAAAAAGGUCAUGCAAUCCAUGUUUCUGUUCUGUUUUGUGGUAGUUACUCUUCUCAUCAAAAGGCAUGUGGCAGGAAGAGGGGAGAAUUCUCUGAGCCUUAGGACUAUUUAAAUAGGAGGGAGAGGGGCCGGGCGGAGUGGCUCACGCCUGUAAUCCCAGCACUUUGGGAGGCCGAGGCAGGUGGAUCACGAGGUCAGGAGAUGGAGACCAUCCUGGCUAACACGGAUUUCUGGACUGGGUGAAUCUUAUCUGCAUUUGGCAAUCAUGAUUCUGAGACUGAAAUUGUGUAACUCUGGAAUUUUAGAGGUGACUGAGUGACAAUUCUGAGAGGCCAAUGCCAAUGAAAGAAAAGUUUACUGCUACUCAUGAUGGUGCCCCUGGAAGCAGAAGACACAGCACGCUAUAGAGGGCCAUGUGGGAAAGCACUGGAGUAGCUCCAGGCCGGGCUUGCCAGUCUCUCUGCACUCUGGAAGGAGUUUGCCUGGGUUGGGGUUGUCCCUUGGUAGAUUCCAAACCUUCAUUUUGUCAAUUUACUUAAAGGUGACUGGGUUUAAAGGGGCUGACUGAUUGUAAAUAACUUGGAGAAUAAGUCAAUAUUCAUUAAUAAAGUUAAAUAAUUCACGUAAAAUUAAAGUAUAAUAGGCAUAAUUUAUAUUAU